CGCCGAAACGCCAGGGAGGGCGUCGCCGCGGGUUUGGUUCCCGCGGCCUGACGAUGGCAGCCAACC
rnacentral:hammerhead_ribozyme from 1 species